rnacentral:rRNA from 1 species
AUUGAACGCUGGCGGUAGGCCUAACACAUGCAAGUCGAACGCGAAAGUCCUUCGGGAUGAGUAGAGUGGCGGACGGGUGAGUAACGCGUAGGAAUCUAUCCUGUAGUGGGGAUAACGUUUCGAAAGGAACGCUAAUACCGCAUACGCCCCAAGGGGGAAAGCGGGGGAUCUUCGGACCUCGUGCUAUAGGAGGAGCCUGCGUCGGAUUAGCUAGUUGGUGAGGUAAAGGCUCACCAAGGCGACGAUCCGUAGCUGGUCUGAGAGGAUGAUCAGCCACACCGGAACUGAGACACGGUCCGGACUCCUACGGGAGGCAGCAGUGGGGAAUAUUGCGCAAUGGGCGAAAGCCUGACGCAGCCAUACCGCGUG